rnacentral:lncRNA from 1 species
AUCAUUUUUUAAUUUGGGAGCUGACGACGUAAAAUUUCCGCGAACCUGAUGUUUUAUUGACGUCAUAAAUAAAACUCUACGGAAAUGCAUUGUCAACGUCAUAAACAAGGUGAUAUACGGUCAGUGACUGUAUAUCACAUAUGAAUAUACAGUCAAUUCAAUUUGACUGCUCAAAUAGGACAGCUGCAGUAUAUAAAUGUUUUCAAACCUGGCAUAUUUUUUUGACUUCUCUUACCACUAAUUGGCAUAGAUUGUUACCUGCAACAAAUUUUGCGUCUUAUAUUGGUAUCACAUCAUCGUCAUCGUUGUCAGAAGACAUUUGGUUUCCAGUCAAUAACUUUAGUAUAAGUAGAUAGAAAUCUAUGAAGUUUAUAACCACAAAAGAAAGGUUGGGAUUGAUUUUGGGGGUUAUGGUCUUCUAUCUCUUCUAUAAAAUACCGUAUAGCAGGUAAUUUUUCCAGGGUGCAAAUUUUCACUUAUUUUCACGGAAAGAUCAAAAUCGUCAAAAUAAAUUCCACCAAUUUAAAACGGAACAUGCUAAGGUAUUGAUAAAAUUUUUGAAUUCGCCAAAAUAAUAACCGCAAAAUAUUUCGCAUACCUUUAUAGUUUAUUCAAUGAAAAUAGCGAAAUAUUACAACCGCGAAAAUAACCCGCUGUACGGUAGUUGUACCAAUAAUAAGAAAAUAGACAAAUAUCAGAAUCUAAUCAAGAACAGAGAUUGAGGACACUUGAACUGAUUACUAAUUAUGAAUAUUAACACACACAAUGUAAUCCGGAAAUUGAUGAAUCCGGAGACGUUUUUCCUUAUAUUGAUUAUAGAUUUUAACAUAAAAAUCUAAAAAUUGAUUUAAUUAUACGUAAUUUAAUUUGUUUUAUCAUUUUAUUGUCGAGCCUGCGACUUUUGUAGCAGUAAGCUUGACAUAGGGAUAGUGAUUCGGCG